rnacentral:rRNA from 1 species
AUUGAACGCUGGCGGCAGGCCUAACACAUGCAAGUCGAACGGUAACAGGAAGCAGCUUGCUGCUUCGCUGACGAGUGGCGGACGGGUGAGUAAUGUCUGGGAAACUGCCUGAUGGAGGGGGAUAACUACUGGAAACGGUAGCUAAUACCGCAUAACGUCGCAAGACCAAAGAGGGGGACCUUAGGGCCUCUUGCCAUCGGAUGUGCCCAGAUGGGAUUAGCUAGUAGGUGGGGUAACGGCUCACCUAGGCGACGAUCCCUAGCUGGUCUGAGAGGAUGACCAGCCACACUGGAACUGAGACACGGUCCAGACUCCUACGGGAGGCAGCAGUGGGGAAUAUUGCACAAUGGGCGCAAGCCUGAUGCAGCCAUGCCGCGUGUAUGAAGAAGGCCUUCGGGUUGUAAAGUACUUUCAGCGGGGAGGAAGGGAGUAAAGUUAAUACCUUUGCUCAUUGACGUUACCCGCAGAAGAAGCACUGGCUAACUCCGUG